rnacentral:rRNA from 1 species
CUAGGAUUAGAUACCCUAUUAUUUAAAAUGUAAAAACUAAAGUAUUAAUAGUUAUGAACUUUAAACUUAAAAAAUUUGGCGGUAUUUUAGUCUAUUCAGAGGAACCUGUUUUAUAAUCGAUAUUCCACGUUGAACCUUACUUUAAUUUAUAUAUUAGUUUAUAUAUCGUCGUUAUAAAAAAUUUUAUAAGAAUAAUAAUUUUUAAAAUUAUAUAUCAGAUCAAGGUGUAGCUUAUAUUAAAGAAAAUAAUGGGUUACAAUAAAUUUAUUUAUAUGGAUAUAAAAAUGAAAAAUUUAUUAAAAGAGGAUUUGAAAGUAAAAUUAUAAAGAUAAGUAAUUUGAUUUUAGCUCUAAAAUAUGUACAUAUCGCCCGUCACUCUUAUUAUUAAAAUAAGAUAAG